rnacentral:misc_RNA from 1 species
GCAAAAUGGGGCAUUCCAGCUGAAGUAUCUUGAUGAUGAACAGGAGUGGGUAAUGCUGGUGAGUGACUCUGACUUGCAGGAGUGUGUUGAGAUACUGGAUUAUGUUGGGACACGCAGCGUGAAGUUCCUUGUUCAUGAUACGGUUUCUUUUAUGGGCAGCUCUGGCAGCAGCAAUUGCUUUUUGGGAGGAAGCUCAUAGCACUUCAGAACCAAUAAAAG